rnacentral:misc_RNA from 1 species
GAUGAAGAACGCAGCGAAAUGCGAUACGUAAUGUGAAUUGCAAAUUCAGUGAAUCAUCGAGUCUUUGAACGCACAUUGCGCCCCUUGGUAUUCCGGGGGGCAUGCCUGUUCGAGCGUCAUUUCAACCCUCAAGCUCUGCUUGGUAUUGGGCACCGUCCUUUGCGGGCGCGCCUCAAAGACCUCGGCGGUGGCGUCUUGCCUCAAGCGUAGUAGAAUACACCUCGCUUCGGAGCGUAAGGCGUCGCCCGCCGGACGAACCUUCUGAACUUUUCUCAAGGUUGACCUCGGAUCAGGUAGGGAUACCCGCUGAACUUAAGCAUAUCAAUAAGCGGAGGA